rnacentral:lncRNA from 1 species
UGCUCCCUCUUUAGUUGAUUUCAAAAAGGGGGAGAAAUAUAUAAUAUGCUAUAUGCUAUCUUGUGCAAGAUGUAUAAUAUGCUAUCUUGUGCAGGAUGUAUAAGUGUGCAGGGCGACUAAGUAUUAUAUGCACAGGUCAAGUCGACUAAGUAUUAUCUCACUAUGCUAUGGCAUAGCAAACUGAAAAGGCAAGUCGACUAGCGUAAGCACCUAUUUGCCAGACAAUUGUUCGAUAUUUCUUUACAGGUACCAGUCGACUGCACCUAAUGAGGGGGAGAACACAAAGACUGCACAUACACAUGGGGAGAUCUCGUCACGUUGACUACUCAACUGAAUAUAAAUAUGGAAGUCAACUAAUGUUUAUUCCAGUGUAUUCAUUUUGCCAUCAACAAAAAAGGAGAGAUUGUUAGAUUAGAUUUUAGUGAUGCAAUUAAUAUACAUGUGCAGAUAUUCAAGGAGGAAAGCGGAAUCACUGAAGCAUGGAUAAAAGGCAAGCGAAGCAAGGAUAAAAGACACGCUACCAUCUCACUAUAUCAAGGAAGCAAGAUUGAAGCAUUAAACAAGGAAGGGAAUAUUCAUGAAGAGAAGCCGUUGGCACACAAGGAGAAGAUCAGCAUCACAUCGUCAAAUCAGGAAGUUUCCCAUGAUUCUUGGGAAAUCAGAUACAUCCCCAAAUCUCAUGAAAAUCAUUGAAGAUUCCUUAACGGCUUAUUUGAAUGAACUACAAGACUGGAAGGCCGCCAUCUCCGUCAAUCACAUCUCCAGAAAAAAAAAAGGAAAGAGAUUUUCAUCAAAGCAACGAUCAGCUUUAUUCUUGCAAGGAAUCAACAACCUCCAAGGAUCAAAUCCCUUGGGUUGAUAAGUCUCCGCCAUAGUCCUGCUUUAUAAAUAUCAUCGUGCCUUGUACCAUCCAUAUACUUUGAACACACCAGAACAACCCUCUUCAUUUUACUGAAAACAAGCAUAGUAGUCUAGUUAGAUUCAUUGUGUAACAAGUCA